GUAGGUGGCAAGCGUUGUCCGGGAAUUAUUGGGGCGUAAAGCGCGCGCAGGCGGUUCUUCAAGUCUGAUGUGAAAGCCCACGGGCUCAACCGUGGAGGGUCAUUGGAAACUGGAGAACUUGAGUACAGAAGAGGAAAGCGGAAUUCCACGUGUAGCGGUGAAAUGCGUAGAGAUGUGGAGGAACACCAGUGGCGAAGGCGGCUUUCUGGUCUGUAACUGACGCUGAGUCGCGAAAGCGUGGGGAGCAAACAGGAUUAGAUACCCUGGUAGUCCACGCCGUAAACGAUGAGUGCUAAGUGUUAGGGGGUUUCCGCCCCUUAGUGCUGCAGCUAACGCAUUAAGCACUCCGCCUGGGGAGUACGGCCGCAAAGGCUG
rnacentral:rRNA from 1 species